rnacentral:rRNA from 1 species
UUUUAUUUAAGUAGUAGUAGAGAUCUUGAAACUUAAAGAAUUUGGCGGUAUAUUAAUCUAUUUAGAGGAACCUGUCCUGUAAUCGAUAAUCCACGUUAAUUUGACCUAAGUUUGGAAAAUCAGCUUGUAUAUCGCUGUCGUAAGAUUAUUUCAUGAGAAAUUUUUCGAUAAUGAAUGUUUAUUUAUGACAAGUCAAGGUGCAGCAUAUGCUUAGGGUUGAGAUGGGUUACAGUAUGGGAACAUAUAUGGAUCUUUAUUUGUAAAAGUGGAUUGAAGGUGGAUUUAAUUGUAAUAAGGAAAUAUAAUUUCUUUAUGGAAAAGUACUAAUAUAUGC